rnacentral:lncRNA from 1 species
GGAAGGAUUAAAUGAUAAUUUGGAGCCUCUGAUGUCCAGUUUGGAGGUUUUGCAUUUAGGUUAUAAUGGUAUAUCCAACUUGAUCAAUCUACAAAUCAGCCGACUCACUAACCUCAGAGCGCUGUUCCUACAAGGGAAUGAAAUCAGUCAGGUAGAUGGAUUGGAUGGUUUGCGGAGACUACGUGAGUUGGUUCUGGAUCGAAAUCGAAUUAAAUCUUUGAGUGAGAACUCAUUCUGUGGACAGGGAGUUUUGCUGGAUUUGCACCUGGCAGAGAAUCGCAUCCGUGAACUGAACCACCUUCAGCCUCUCACUGAGCUCCGGAGACUGUUCUUAGACAUGAACAAAAUACUGGACAUUUUUAGAGCUGGAGAAACUGGAGGUUGACUUCCUUCCCUCAUGGAACUGUCUGUAGUGGGCAACCCAGUGGCUCGGCGGUCACUGCACAGGCCAGCAGUUGUACUGCAUCUGUCUACACUCCAGGUUCUGGAUGGCACGACAGUCACCCUGGAAGAAAGAACAAGAGCAGAGAUUUUAAAUAAUGAAGCACAGGGUUCUAGUUCAGGUGGUGAAGUGACUUUACCCGGUUUGGUACCAUUGGUGACCCGACCGGCUCCUUUAAGAGGUGCAGGAAUGCACUCACUCGUACCUGAUCAGCAAGACGACACACAUGAUACCAGCAGAUAUAGGAAGCAGAAAGCAGUUGCCUCUCUCUUGCGUGGAGUUCAGAGUGACUUCAACUUCAGGCAGAUCAGAGGAUCUUCCAGCCACUACAUGACAGCGCUGCAGCAGAGCGGAUACAGAGUUCUCUCCACUUUCCCUAACGCUGAUCCUGAGACCAGGUACAAGUGUCACAGUGUACCCAGACCUCCUCCUCCUCCUCCUCCUCCUCUAGUAACACAAAGUCAUAGAUGCACUAUGUGUGUCAUGAAUUUCAGCUUUGGUCUUGUAUGUUGUUGUUCAUCUUUGAAUCUUAGAUAAGACUUAAAUCUUUAAAUUUAUUUAUUUGGAAUUGUGUCAAUAUCAAAAGAUAUUAAAUGUAUAUUUUCUAUUCAAGACUUUGAGUGGUGUCCUUUAUCUUAAGUCUUUGUCCUUGCAACAUUCUCACUUUCCAUGAGGUUUGGUUUUAUUUUUUAAAAAAUGUAUUUGAUAGUUAUGAAGUCACUUCAAAUAUAAAAGUAUAUACAAAACAUUUGUCAAAAAAAAUCUUUCUUGGAAACUCAAAUGUUUUGGCCUGUAGUUGCAAAAUUUGUCCAUUGAGGGGUCCCAGAGGGCUUGUUUGGUUUUUAAUUUAUUGUGGAACUUGGUUGGAACAUAUAAACAUUAAAAUUUAACAGUGCUAAAAAAAUUUAAUUGUGAUAUCUGUUCUCAGUUUUACUUUUAUAAUAAUAAUAAUUAUUAUUAUUUGUUUUAAUGUAUUCUAUAGAUAAUAAAAAAAUUAUUAGUUGUUAUUGUUGUUGUUGUUAGUAUAAUACAUAAUUGUACAAAAGCAUAAUAAUAACACUUUUUAUAGAAUAAUGUAAUUUGUACUUGAUUCUUAAGGAAAACCAUUUCCUGCUAAUUUAUAAUACUCACACAUACACACUAUCAACUAUUGCCAGCUUUGCACUUAUGUGUCUGUUUUUCUUUUUAUGACAAACACAUCUCACGCGAUUCGGAGUUUUGCCAUCAGCUUUUCUCUAAGAAAUAAAAGCCCACUCUGGGGUGGAAUAGUUCUCGUUACAGCUAUGGCAAACAGUGAUUUGUGUCAGACUGUGACACUGAAAAGAGAGCAGAGGUUUUAGUCUGAUGUGUUUAUUUUCAGUGGGCUGUAUUAUGAGGGCAGUUUAGCAGCACAGCUGAAAAUCCAAUGUCUGGAGAAAUUCAAAGGCAAUCACACACAUAAUGUGUUCAGUAAAAACCUGUUAUCACAGCUCAAGGUAAUUCUCUUCCUGUUUUUCUGUGGAGUAUAAUGGUGGGGGUUGCAAAAGGAGAAAGACACAGAGAGAGAGAACCAAAUCCAACAGAAUAAAAGAAGAUAUAUUAAAAUGUGGAGAAAAUGAGAAAGGAAAGCCAGAGUGAAUGCUGUUGAAUUUAAUGGUGGAUCUGCAGUGGAAAUAACACAGAGCACAGUGAGUGUGUUGUCCAAGCAGUGUUCAAAGCAAUACAGAGAUACGUCUGAGCAUCUUGCAGCAGGAACGUUACUUUUUAUCUGUUGAUGUGUCUUUUACUGUUGGUCUCAUGCAGGGAUGUGUGUCAGACUUGAAAAUAGUUAAUUAUAAUUAAUUUUAAGCUCACUUUAAAAAUAAAUAAAUAAAAAAUUCAGUGUCUGAUUGUAUAACUUCUUUUUCAUUUGGUUUAUGCAUGUAUAUUGUCAUUUCCCCAUGUCUAAUUAGCCUAUACUAGAUAAAAUUAGUUACCUUUCUUUUAUCAUAAUUUUCACAUUUAAAUGAGAAUGGGGUUAAUUUCAUUACGUUCAUUGCUUUGGUUUAAAUAAAUGUUAUUUCUGCUAUGCACAUUCUAACAAAAAAAGGGUCGAGUCUUAUUAAAUGUGUUUCUUUGUUUGUUUUUUUUAAGUAAAUGUUUAAUUAAAUUGAUAACUAAAGUAAAUAUUCUUUACAUUGUGCAAACAGUCAAAUAUAAAUGCCAGAGCUUGAGCAUUUGCAAUAGUAAUAACUCUUUAAAUUACUACACAAGCAUAUUAUUUUUUCAAAAGGCUACUGCAUAACAAGAAUGACCUUGUUAAUAGGUUUGCCAGCAUACCAUUUGCAGGUUUGCCAUUUUAUAUUUUCAUGGCUAAUUCUGUGAGGGGAAAUAAAGGUCUGUACGUAAAGACGUAGCCGUGUGUCGUAUAGCGCCGCCCUUCAGGCCGUGUUGCCCAACUGCAGCAGAAGCAGAAGUGAUGGAUAGCGGGUUCGUUUUAUCCCUACACAAACCCUAUACUCACCCCUCUAAUACUUCUCAAGCCUUUCACAUUUAAAGGUAUGUGUUGUUAAAAACAAAAAAGGCUGUUUCUAUUUCUUUUUUUGCCAUGUGGAAAAAUAAACCGACUUUACGCCCAAACAGGAGCAGCUAACGCUAGCCGCGCUAACGAGUUUAUAGCCGCUUUCUCGCCUCUGUCCUUUAUCUGCUGUGUUUGGAAGAAACCAAGACGAUAUUAUAAUGUCAUAAGAUAUAAGAGUUGUGUGUUUGGUUAUUGUAAUGGCCUGUAAACCGGUUGUCACGUUAAAGCUUGUCUCUUGUUGUCAUAGCUGCAGUGUUAGCAUGUGAACAGAUCACAGGAUACAAAUCAACAAGACUGCAUUAAAAACGUAAAUCUGAGGAUAAGAGCACGUAAUUGACAGGAGAACCCCGUGAAGUCACUGGUUUGAUGCUGAUUGACUCCGCAACAAUCAGCCUGUGUUUAUGCUGUGUGUUUAUUUAGGCUAUAAUCAUCUCUGCUUGUUUUGUUCGGGUAACAUCAACAAACAGGUAAACUGGGACUCAGAUGUAAAAAUACACAGAUGCUCUGAGGUUAUAUCCUGUGGUUAUUAUUAUUAUUUUAUUUUUUACCUACGUGAAUAUGGUUAAAAAUAAUAAAAUAAAUAAUUGAACUUGGUAACUAAUAUCUAUCAGGGUAACUUACUUCCCAAGUUGAUUAAUUACAAGACUAUUUUUUUUAUUUUAUUUAUUUUUUAUUUUACUUGUAAUAGUUUUAUGCUGUGUGUUUAUUUAGGCUAUAAUCAUCUCUGCUUGUUUUGUUCGGGUAACAUCAACAAACAGGUAAACUGGGACUCAGAUGUAAAAAUACACAGAUGCUCUGAGGUUAUAUCCUGUGGUUAUUAUUAUUAUUUUAUUUUUUUACCACGUUGAAUAUGGUUAAAAAAUAUAAAUAAAUAAUUGAAACUUGGUAACUAAUAUCUAUCAGGGUAACUUACUUCCCAAGUUGAUUAAUUACAAGACAUUUUUUUUUAUUAUUAUUUUUUAUUUACUGAAAUAGUGUGAUUAGUAUGCAAAAUAUACAUUC